rfam:Gossypium raimondii Chr01_contig_307, whole genome shotgun sequence.
UGUUAAAAAAAGCAUUCAUUUCUAUUGUUAGCAAUCGGCGUAGCUGUCUAACCAAAUAGUCACACGUGAUGUGUUACGUGUAUCUCAUGUUGACAUAUACGGACCAAUUUUUAACCGUAAAAAUGGAUGAAAUUUUUAACA